rnacentral:lncRNA from 1 species
AAGUCUUGUUAUGAUGCCUUUGUGCCUUGUUAUGACUUAUAUAAAUGGUUUCUUCCAGAUAGUACGUAGGUGUCAUAACACUUCCUAUGUUGUAAGAGCGACACGGGGUCAGGUGUGAGUGAGGAGGACCGGCAUAAAAUAGAGGCUGUGCUGGAAGAGGAGUAUAGCUACAGCCUGUGUCUCUUUGACCGUGACAUCCUGCCUGGGGAGGGUAAGUCAACUGUCCUUUGGUUGUGUGUGUGUGUGUGUGUGUGUGUGGGUGUGUGAUUUCCACUGGUGCCAAAACAUUGAUGUUUUACCCUAAAGUCCAGAUUAUGUUCUGUUUCCAUUGACACGGACCAAUGCCAAUAGGGGCACGGCCGAGUUGCCCGGCUCUCACUUGAUGCCAAGACCCGGACAUUAGGACAGGGGGGGCGUUGUGGCGUACAGGGAAAAUGUCGGAUGUCCAUCAUUUGUAAUUCGUUAUCCUCAUUGGUAUUGCGUAAGAAUUUUUUUCUCAAAAUACAUUUAGAAACAAAUGAAGCAACAUAUUGACGUUGUUCCACUGGUCAGUGGAUAUCCAGGUCCUCGUUGCGUUGUACUGUAUUAGUGUGUCUGGGUUUGUUGCGUGCUGGCAUGCGCCUUGCUGUUUAAACCAAUGACUUUGUUUCUAGCGGUGUCAGAAGCUGUGCUGGCCUCCAUAGAGAAGAGUCGUCGCCUUAUUCUGGUGUCCAGUGGCUCAGCUUUGAACCCCGGGCAGGACAGCCAGUACAGUCUGCUCACCGGGCUCCAUGCCGCGCUGGUGGAACGGCACACCCCCCUGGUUCUCGUCCAGGCAGAGGUCAGAUCAGAUGCGGGAUCCAGCCAAGAUAACCAGGAGAAUCUGAAGCUUGACUCGGUCCCUGAGGCCCAGCAGAAGCUGGUUCAGUCUGGACACAAAGUCACCUGGAAGGGUUCCAACUCUGAACCCCUCUCCUCAGCCUUUUGGAAGGAGCUUCGCUACCAUAUACCAGCCAGAGCCAGAGGGUCCUCCCAGGGUGUUGAGAAGGCCCUUCUGAGAUUGUAA